rnacentral:rRNA from 1 species
AGUGAACGCUGGCGGCGUGCUUAACACAUGCAAGUCGAACGAGAAACGGAUUUAGCUUGCUAAAUUGCAGUCUAAGUGGCGCACGGGUGAGUAAUGUAUAGAUAAUAUGCCUUUUACUAAGGGAUAACAGUUGGAAACGGCUGCUAAUACCUUAUAUGCCUUUAAUACAUAAGUAUGCAAGGGAAAGAUUUAUUGGUAAAAGAUUAGUCUGUAUUGUAUCAGUUAGUUGGUGAGGUAAUGGCUCACCAAGACUAUGACGCAUAACUGGUUUGGGAGGAUGAUCAGUCACACUGAAACUGAGACACGGUCCAGACUCCUACGGGAGGCAGCAGUGGGGAAUAUUGCACAAUGGGGGAAACCCUGAUGCAGCAACGCCGCGUGGAGGAUGACACAUUUCGGUGCGUAAACUCCUUUUAUAUAGGAAGAUAAUGACGGUACUAUAUGAAUAAGCACCGGCUAACUCCGUGCCAGCCGCCGCCGUAA